rnacentral:tRNA from 1 species
ACCUGGCUGGCUCAGUCACUAGAGCAUGUGACUCUUGAUCUCAGGGUUGUGAGUUCAAGCCCCAUGUUAGGCA